rnacentral:tRNA from 1 species
UCGUCGGUGGCCGGAUGUGACGACGCCCCGCUCGGGACGGGGCGUCGGGAUGUCGGUUGCGCCACCGGCACGUCGGCC